UGGAGAAAUCGAAGUGUUGACCAAUAGAAGACGCCAAAUUACAGUGAAGGUUUGAAGGAAAUCUUUCCCUUGAAGUUCCAAAUGCAUGGAUUUGGUAGGCAAGCAGAGCUGAGGAUACCAUAUACAUCGAUCAGAUUUUUCGCUGAUGUAAGGAUGUGUGCAGGUCCUUACAGAGACUCUUAUAAUUAUACGCACUUGUUACAAAAAUGUAAAGGCACCAAAUGCGUUCAAAAAGUGCAUUCUCAGAUCAUCACUGGAGGAUAUGAGCAGAACCGAUUUGUUACUUCAAAGUUAGUUGGCAAAUAUUGUGAGAGCUCAAACAUGGGAUAUGCAAGGAAGGUGUUUGAUAGUUUGUUUGAAAGAGAUAUUUUCUUGUGGAAUUUGAUUAUUCAAGGUUAUGCAAAUUUUGGUCCUCGCACAGAAGCAGUGAGUAUAUAUUCUGAAAUGCGUUUGAGUGGUAUUUGUGCCAACCGGUACACGUACCCGUUUGUGCUGAAGGCUUGUGGGGUUUCACGGGAAAGAAAGAAUGGUCAGGUGAUUCAUGGGCAUGCAGUGAAAUCUGGGCUUGACACAGAUUUGUUUGUUGGGAAUGCCCUUGUAGCAUUUUAUGCCAAGUGUCAGGAAGUCGAUUUGUCUAGAAAAGUGUUUGAUGAAAUUCCAAAGAGAGAUCUUGUUAGUUGGAAUUCAAUGAUUUCCGGUUAUACUGUAAACGGCUAUGUAGAUGCUGCUCUGACAUUAUUCCGGGCUAUGCUGCGAGAUCAGGUAACCAGUGCACCUGAUAAUGCCACUCUCGUUGCCAUUCUUCCCGCUUGUGCCCAAGCAGCAGCUAUACAAUUAGGUUUCUGGAUUCAUUCUUACAUUAUAAAGACAAGCAUGGAAAUUAAUGCUGCACUAGGCAGUGGCCUUAUAUCCAUGUAUGCAAAUUGUGGCCGAGUCAACAUUGCCAGAGAUGUUUUUGAUGGAGUCUCUGAUAAGAACAUUGUGGUAUGGAAUGCAAUUAUAAGAUGUUAUGGUAUGCAUGGUUAUGCAGACGAGGCACUCCAAAUGUUCUCGCAAUUAAUAGAGAAUGGUAUACAACCAGAUGGGGUUAUAUUUUUGUGUCUGUUGUCUACAUGUAGUCAUGCAGGCCUGGUUGAAAAGGGGAGAGAACUGUUUGCAAGAAUGGGAGAUUAUGCAGUUGAUAAAAACGAGGAGCAUUAUGCUUGCAUGGUAGA
rnacentral:misc_RNA from 1 species